UUCGUAGGCGGUGUGGCAAGUCGGGAGUGAAAUCUCUGGGCUCAACCCAGAGGCUGCUUCCGAAACUGCUGUGCUUGAGUGUGAGAGAGGCUCGUGGAAUUGCAGGUGUAGCGGUGAAAUGCGUAGAUAUCUGCAGGAACACCCGUGGCGAAAGCGGCGAGCUGGAUCACUACUGACGCUGAGGAACGAAAGCUAGGGGAGCAAACAGGAUUAGAUACCCUGGUAGUCCUAGCCCUAAACGAUCAGGACUUGGGGUGCCGCCCGUUCGGGCGUCGUCCCGGAGCUAACGCGUUAAGUCCUGCACCUGGGGAGUACGGUCGCAAGACUGAA
rnacentral:rRNA from 1 species